GCGGUAGUAGUAUAGUGGUUAGUAUACGACGUUGCCAACGUUGUGACCUGGGUUCAAAUCCCAGCUACCGCA
rnacentral:tRNA from 1 species